rnacentral:tRNA from 2 species
CAUUAAGAAGCUAUGCAACAGCACUAGCCUUUUAAGCUAGAGACAGAGGUGCAAAUCUCCUCCUUAAUGG